CGGGAUUAUUGGGGCGUAAAGGGCUCGCAGGCGGUUUCUUAAGUCUGAUGUGAAAGCCCCCGGCUCAACCGGGGAGGGUCAUUGGAAACUGGGGAACUUGAGUGCAGAAGAGGAGAGUGGAAUUCCACGUGUAGCGGUGAAAUGCGUAGAGAUGUGGAGGAACACCAGUGGCGAAGGCGACUCUCUGGUCUGUAACUGACGCUGAGGAGCGAAAGCGUGGGGAGCGAACAGGAUUAGAUACCCUGGUAGUCCACGCCGUAAACGAUGAGUGCUAAGUGUUAGGGGGUUUCCGCCCCUUAGUGCUGCAGCUAACGCAUUAAGCACUCCGCCUGGGGAGUACGGUCGCAAGACUGAAACUCAAAGGAAUUGACGGGGGCCCGCACAAGCGGUGGAGCAUGUGGUUUAAUUCGAAGCAACGCGAAGAACCUUACCAGGUCUUGACAUCCUCUGACAAUCCUAGAGAUAGGACGUCCCCUUCGGGGGCAGAGUGACAGGUGGUGCAUGGUUGUCGUCAGCUCGUGUCGUGAGAUGUUGGGUUAAGUCCCGCAACGAGCGCAACCCUUGAUCUUAGUUGCCAGCAUUCAGUUGGGCACUCUAAGGUGACUGCCGGUGACAAACCGGAGGAAGGUGGGGAUGACGUCAAAUCAUCAUGCCCCUUAUGACCUGGGCUACACACGUGCUACAAUGGACAGAACAAAGGGCAGCGAAACCGCGAGGUUAAGCCAAUCCCACAAAUCUGUUCUCAGUUCGGAUCGCAGUCUGCAACUCGACUGCGUGAAGCUGGA
rnacentral:rRNA from 1 species